rnacentral:rRNA from 1 species
CGGACGGGUGAGUAACGCGUGAGUAACCUGCCUUCAANAGGGGGAUAACAUUCUGAAAAGAAUGCUAAUACCGCAUGACAUAUCGGAACCACAUGGUUUUGAUAUCAAAGAUUUUAUCGCUUGAAGAUGGACUCGCGUCCGAUUAGUUAGUUGGUGAGGUAACGGCUCACCAAGACCGCGAUCGGUAGCCGGACUGAGAGGGUGACCGGCCACAUUGGGACUGAGACACGGCCCAAACUCCUACGGGAGGCAGCAUG